rnacentral:lncRNA from 1 species
AAAAGAAAGACAAAGACACAAGCAGUUAUCCUGGUUCCUUCCACAACACGGAAGUAGUCCAGUCCCCCUUGCACUUCCAAGGAGAUUUCACUAUAAUCACAAAGAUUACAACUGCUCAAUACUUUCUAAGUAUGAGACUUCACAAAAAUGCUCAAGCACACACGCAAGAGUCUUCCAAUGCUCAAGCACUAAGCAAGAGACUUCUAAUGCUCAAGCACACAGGCAAGAGACUUCUAAUCAAACAAAAAUACAGAGAAUUGAGUUUGAGUUGAACACUUGAUAUACAAUCAGUGGUGUUCACAAUACAAUACAGUAAAGACUCUAGACUUUGAAUUUCUAAGAUGUAUCAAAUCAGUGCAGAAAUUCAGUGUGCUUUGUAGAAUCAAAUUGACAGAGUUUUGGCGCUUUUGAACUUAUGUAUUUCUGUAUCAUCUUCAAGUCUUCACUCCUUUAUAUAGAGGCGUGAAAGAGACGUUGAGAUAAUCAGCACGUCUAAAGAGUCGUUUGAAAUCCUUUGAUUAUCCACCAGUGAUCCUUUGCCUGAUUUGGGUGUGGUCAUUUGAAGAAUAAGCUUCAAAUUCAUUCCCAUCUUGAGUGUACAUAUUCUGCAGGCAUGGCUGUUGUUUUGUCUUGUAGCGUAGACAGAAAACAGAGUAGUGGAGGUAGUGGUUGUACACUUGUACUUUGUCAACUCUAUUAACGAGAGACAAGUGCUCAGUGCUAUCCAUAUAUCCGUUGAUACCUCCCUUUCAAUUCUUCGUUCUUCUUGGAUAAGACUGAAUUGAGAAUCAGCUACUUUGAAUCUUCAGUUUGAUUAAAGGAUCAAACGUAGCUUCUGGUGAAGAUAUUGCUUUUGAUAAAAACUUUUGCUUCUGAUGACCUUCUGCUUCUGAUGACGUCAUCACUUCAGAAGCACUUCAGCUUCAGGAGCAGUUUUCUUCAGAUGCUCAGAAUUUCUUUUUCUUUCCAUUGUUCUUCCAAGACCUAUUGAAAUAACUUGAGUAGCCUUUGAUCCUGUACACUUGAACAAUUAUUAGUAAUAACCAAUUGACAAUUUUUAAUACCUUGUUAUCAUCAAAACUUAAUAAGGUUCAUUGUGAAACACAUUUUGUUCCAACACACUUCCCUAGCGGACUAUGAUAUUUAAGCAUCCCUUUUUUUCUACAAUUAUUCAAACACCAAAUCAUUUUAUUCUUAUCUCUAUCUUUCUAGAGUAAUGAUAUUUUGAUAACCAUUUUGGUACAACUUUUGAGACAACUUUGUUGUUCUUUCUUCUCAUUGGUUAAAAACAAUAGAAAGAGAAAAAGGAAGAGAGAGAAUAAAAACAUAAUGUGAGUAUGAGAGAUAAAGUUAUAGAAAAGUUGUACCAAAAUAGUUGUACAAAUAUCAUUUCUCAUCUUUCUAUCAUAUGAUCAAUCUAUCACGUUACACAUUUUUUCUCCUUUUCUAUUUAUUUCAAGGUGUAUACAUCCAAAUGUGUAGACCGAACAUUUUCCCUAACUAACAUUUUCCAGGUUUAAAUGAGGGUCAGAUUGGAAUUAAAUGAAUCUAUCUACCAUAGUACGUACCAAGUACCAACACAUAUAUUGCUUUAAAUAAUUGUUGAAGAGAAAUGAUAUUUGAACAUUCAUUUGGUGACAACUUUCUCUCUCAUACUCACAUCAUUUUUACUUUAUCUCAUUAUUGUUUUGGUUUCCGUACAAAUACUUACUUUUUCUUUGUAAAUUAUAGUUGUCGCAUAAGUUGUCAACUAAAUUAGUUGUUCAAAUAACACUUUUAAAUUGUUGAAACAUACCACUACUCUUGUACUUGUACUCAGUUUGAAACUAAACAACAAACUGGUCACUAAAUUCCUAGAAGUGUUGUUCUAACAAUGAGUGCUUCUCACAAAGAAUAAUUUGUUAUUUUAAUCCUUUGGAUCGGUUUUAAAAAUAUAUUGCCUCCUUGAUCCACCCAAUAUUCUGAAAAUCACUAAUACUCCUUUUCUUUUCAUCCCUAACAUAACUUCUAAAUCGAAAGAGUAAAUUACACUCCACUCCUUUCAGAGAUGUUUGAAUUACACUCCCCUCCUCUCUUAUGUUAAAAUAUACACUCCCUUCCCUUAAAAAAUAAAAUUAAUACUCCCCUCCCCUAUAAGAUGCUUGAAUUACAACCUCCUCCCUUAAUAAUUAAAUAUGGACUACACUUUAAUCUAUUUUAACAUAAAGUAAUAUUUUUAUAAUAUAUAUUAAUUUUGAAUCACCAUUUAAAAAAUAUAAAUUCGUUUAUUUAUAAUCUAAAUGUCAAUGACAAUUAAAUUUAAAUUUUGUGUUAUUAAUUUUAUAAUUUAGAGUAUAAAAUUCACUUUUAAAUAACCAUACUUAAUCGAUUUUAGUACUUUUUCACAUAUUUUAAUUUUAUUUUGGGUUGUUUCAUAUUUUAUAAUAGGGUUUAAAACUAUAUGUUAAUGAAAUUGUGAAUAAAAAUAGAGAAAGAUAUGUAUUCAAAAUUUGAUUAUAUUAAAAUAAACCCGCAUGCUAUUUUUCUUUGAAGUGUGGUAGAUUAUUUUUUUGCUAGAUUAUUAGAAGAAAAAAAAUUGAGGGACUAAAGCGUAGAUUUUAACUUAAGAGGGGAGGGGAAUGUAAUUCAAGCUUCUCUCAAGGGAGGGGAGUGAAAUAUUUUCUAAUAUGUUUUGAAUAAGAGGGGAGGGGAGUGUAUAUUUUAACAUAAGAAGAGAGGGGAGUGUGAUUCAAGCAUCUUUGAGGGGAGGGGAGUGUAAUUUACUCAAAUUGAAAACCAUCUCAUAUACUACCAAAAACAGAUUUGCGCCGCGCCGCAAUUCACUCCUUCAUGUAUUUUAUCAAGAAAUUAAGGUAUGUAUACGUAAGUUGAAACAAGUUAUUAUCUUCUCAAAAGUGAUUUGUCAUUUCUUAAACAUACUUCUCUCUUUAUACCAAAAAUAUUUUAUUUGUACCAAAAAAAAAAAAAAUACUUCUCUCUUGUGGAUGCAGAAUCUCACUAUGACACCAUUUGAGAUGUGCUAUGGCUGUCAAGGCGGCUCGGCGACACGAUUGUGGAGCUGCCUUUGGGCAUGGGUGGAACUGGAAAAUAGGUAAUAAAACCAGUGAGAGGUUUAUAUUUGCAUUUUUCUUUUCUACUUGCUCUUGCUUUUCUGUUCUUCUUUUAUUAUCUAUCAAUAUAUUUUAAUUAUUAUUUAAGACGUGCACUAACAGGCUUGUCUAUCCAUUUUUUUUUUUUGUCAUGUAAUUUAUUAGUUAAAAAUUCACCCUUAAUAUAAAUAAGUGGAUUAUCUAAAAUUCAAACUUUGAUUCCUACAUAUAGUGUUUAAUUGCUUUUUCACUCACAAAAUAACUUUCGUUAAUAAUUCGUGAGUGCUAUGUUAGCUGGAUUUAGCAUUUUUCUAAAAACAAUAAAUAUUUUGUUUAAAUAACAAAUCUUUUGUGACUUUUAUGGAUGUGUUUUGAAAAAUCUGGAACCCAAAUCCGUUGUAGGGAUCACAUUUGAAGUAUCAUAUGUCAAAAUCACGUUAAAAGGAGGGUAAAAGUUAAAAAAAAUUAAAAGAUAACUAACUUGGCUCAUCGGUACAUAUAUAUGUGUGAUUUUUUUUUCUUUAUCAUUUAAAAAGUGUAACAAAUUAGAUAAAUAUAUUUAUAAAGAUUGUUGUUGGUGUCAUUAAAAAAAAAAAUUAGAUUAUAUUUUUUGUUAUAUUGUUGGUAUCAUUUAAAUAGAUAAUCAUGGUUUAGUUUGCUCUAACUUGAAAGCAACAAACAUUUAUAUUUUUAGUUUUAAUCAAAAUCGAAACUUCAUAAAAAAGCACCGUUAAUAAUUUUCAAAUGUUAUUGCAGUAAAAAGAGCGGAAAGACGGACAUAUGACAAAUUCUACUAUGCUUUCUUCAAAUAAAUAGCUAUAUCUUUCAAUUUGAGUCUCAUCAUCACAUCAUCACUUGACAGCAUUGCUUCCAUGCUCUCAUCUGCAUCCUUAGACUGAACAUCUUCCAAGACAUGGUUACAAUCCUCAACAAUAUCAACAUUUGGAGGUGAACUUGAAUGAGCAUCUACAUCAAUAUUUUCCUCAGCAUUCAAACCAUCUUCACCAGAAUUUUCAAAGAGCAUAAAACCAGAAGGAACAUCACCACCAUCAACAAUAUCAUCUGUCUUCCUAGUAGAUUCUUUUGCAAUAACAUUACUUGUUUUAGUGCCGAGUCCUUGGCUGAUGCCAUGGACCUAUAAAGAGAUAUAAAGAGUUAGCUACAUUCGACAUCAAAUUCAAGGAUACAAGAACGCUGCAAGAUUUUGUUUAUGUUAUCUCAUAAAUAAAAUAGAGUUAUCAUGAUAUAAACCUUAGGAGGGAGUUAAAUAUGACUGGCAACUCCAUGGCAUUUAAAGUGUAAAUUACCUGGAGUUACGUGUGUAGUGCAUGUAAUGUAUAUAUAAUAAAAACAGACUAUUUAUGUUUAUGCCUUGCUACAACUAUAAAAUAUACUGUGAAUUGUGUAUAUAAAAAACUGAGUAAUUAUGUUUGUGCUUACAACUAUAUGCUACUAUGUAAUAUAAUACUAAGAGUGUUGUUUUUUUUUUCUUCUUAUAAUAAGGAUCGGAGGAAGUAGUAUUUCUUCGAAUCUUAAGUCAAAAUACCACUUACACAUACAUGCAUAUGCAUAAAAAGUAGCAUAUAUAAGAAAAUUCGCAUGUUAAGUCAAAAUAUUAAAACUAACCUUAAAUUAAAAAUUCAUAAAUAUAACUCAAUUCUCUAAAAGCAAAUAAGUUUAAUAACAUCGGUUGCACCACCAAAAACUUAGACAACUCAAGUGAAAGUGUUCACACCUAACCUCAUCGAAAUUAUUAUUUUAGGUAGACCUUACACACCACUUUAGUGUAAAAGAGCAUCUGAAUAAGGUCUACCGUAACAAGUAUAAUCUUCUUUUUACCAAAAAUAAAUAAGAACUACUGUAAUAUACUAAUACUAAUAUGUUAACAUACAUGCAACAAUAUAAUAGAAGUGAUCCAAUUAAAAUAUCCAAUCAUUUAUAAUUGAAAUAAACAUCAAAAGAGAUAUUAAAACUAAAAUACGAUAUCAGAUAUAUCAUCUAGUAUUUGGUACACAUAUAUCAAUCCAGAGAUUACGGAAUUUAACAACGAAAAAGUUUUUUAUAAUAGUCAUUUAAACAAAUUUAUUAACUAUCAUCUAAGUAAAAUUGGCUGAACAGGAUGACAAAAAGUGAGAGAGAAGACAUAAGAAAUGUUAAGGUGUUGUUACUCCCAUAAUAGUAUAUGUGGUAACUUUUGAUCUAGUGGUAUAUAUUACUCAUGCACGGUGAGAGACAUAAGAUGGUCUCCCACCGUAGCAUCCGCGGGGAAGGAGUCAUAAUAACUCAACAUGUUUUUGUAGUAAAUUAUGCCCUUUAGGGUUGUAUUUUAGGGGGGGUGUUAAUUGUUAUGGGCUGAAACAUGAUCACUAAUGUUUUUAACAUUAGUAAUUUUUGAUAUUAUUUGCAAACAAAAGAAGUAUUAAUAUAAAAAAAAUGGAGAGGAUGAAAGGACAUAGCACAUGAUGAAAACAGAGUGAAGGAAAGGAAUUUGUUAUAUAAGUUUUCAUGAUUAAAAAUUGUUUUUUUUUAAGGAGUGAUUUAAAAAUGUUAAAAGUGGUUAUGGAAUUAGGGUUUGAUAAUUCAAGAUCAAUAAUUUAUUGAUCUUGUGUGGUUUUGAUGACAGAGUAUCAUAUGACAUUAUGAAUAUGUCUUUUAGUAUUUUUCUUUGUAUUUGAAGAGAAAUAAGAUGUGAGAUAAAGGAGUUGUUAAUGGUUUGAGGAACAUAUUGUAUUGUUUUCACUCAAUUCGUAAUUCAGUUUUAUCCUAUAUCAUUGAUAAACUUUUAACAAGUAUACUUAAAAAUGCAUCGAAGUGAUAAAAAAAAUCGUCUCCACAAGAAUUGUUUCAAUUUCAACUCGUCAAUUUAAUUGUAAUAAGGAUUUAACAAAUGGAGGAUAUGUAGAGAAUAUAUCUAAUUUGCCCCGCAACUCACUCCAUCAUGUAUUUUUUAUAUCCUUUCAUAAUAACUUUAUUAUUUCAUUGAAACUAUAUUACUAUAACCUUAUUUUGUAGAAACUAUAUUAGUGUGUGUUUUGUUUGGCGGUGGAGAAAAUUGAUUUUGAGAGAAUUGAUUUUGGUUAAAAGUGAGUUUGAUGUGAAUUGAUUUAUGUUUGGGUACCCUCACUUAAAAGUGAUUCUUAUGAGUUGAUGUUGUUUGGAUAGGUUGAAUCAAAAUUAAUUUUAAAUGUGUAAUGACCUAAUUAUCCUUUUAAUUGUAUUUAAAAUUAUAUAUCUCAUUCCCAUUUUAGAUAAUUAUUUAAACUUAUGUCCAAUAAUUAAAUUUAAUAUAAUUACAUAUAAUUAGCAAAAAAUUAUUACGUUAAUUUUAUUGUUUUACAAAUUCGUUUUAAAAUAAUAUAAUUUAUAAGUUCAUUUUAGUAUAAUAUAAGCAUAUAAGUGUAUUUUAUAUACUGCAUUUUGUCAAAAAUAGUUAAUAUAUUGCACAAAAGAAAGGAUAAACUUAUUAUUAUAAUAUUGUAAAAGAAAGUUACCACCAUAACAAUUAGGACAACUCGGUGAGUGACUCACCAACUCACCAUCAAAAACAGAAUGAGAUACCACUGUAAAAUUGCAAAAAUGAUAUGAAUUACCAUUAGAAACGUGCAAUUUCUACUCUGUAAGCAAUGAUUUCGACCAAAAACUCUCCAUUCCUUGCUAUCUUGUUCGACUUCUUCCUUUUGAAAAACAAGGUUGAACCAUGGCAGACGCUAAUAAAGGGUAUUGAUGGAAGAUUGCCUUGAAAAACAAAACUAAAACUUAGAAUCGAUUUAGGCAACCGCAGAAGCUCCAAAUCGUAGCUUCCAGUCUAUCGUGAUUUUGAAGGUGGAAUCGAUUUAGAGGAAUAUAAGCCAAACAUGAAAGUUUACGGUCAAACCAUGUUUGACCACUACGAACGCGCGUCUAGAGUGUUCUACCGCGGAUCCAAACAACCACUUACUAUGUUCACCUUAAAAUCAGUGACACCAACCUUUGUUUUCAUCCCCAACUUCACAAUCUCAACAAAACCUUUUUAUAUACGAAAACAGUAACAAAAAGCAGUAGCAUUCCACGGUCUGGUUGGGGUUUUUCUUUCUUUGUUAGUCCCCUUUUUUAUUUCCAAGUUUAAAAACAUAUGUAAACGUAAGUUGAGACAAGUUAUUAUCUUCUUAAACGUGAUUUGUCGUCUUUUGAAACAUACUUCUGUUUUGUUGGUGCAGAAACUCACCAUUUGAAGUGUGUUAUGACUGUCGAGGUGGCUCAGCGACACGAUUGUGGAGCUGCCUCUGGACAUGGGUGGAAUUGUAAAUUAGGUAAUGCCAUAAUGAUUUUUGUUGGGUGGCUAGGUGACCGUCCAGGCUAGAGCAACCGCACAAGUAAGAGAGACGCCACACUCUUACCCAAAACCUUAAGGCAAUGGGUUUAUGAGUCCUCUUACUUAUAAGGUGUUCAACCUUAACUAUUUUAUCCGAUAUGAGACAUAUAACUCACACUUGCACACAACAACAACUUUUGUAUUUUACUUGCUCUUGCUUUUUCUUCUUUGCUUACUAUCUAUGUUUAUAUUUUGUCUAUUGCUUAUAUAGAAAAUAUCUGGUUGGUCUUGCUUAUAUAGAAUACUGGUUGGUCACAAUCUAAAAUAAAAAGUAUUUAAGCGCACAUGCAUAAAAUUGCAUAUCAUUUAAUUAUUGUAAAAAAUACUUUUUAUCUUUCUUUUAGCUGUUCAAUUUUUUGAAUUUAUGCUUAAAUAUUGUGUUCAAAUUUUGUGAGUGCACGAUUUCUCCCUCUUUUUAGCGAUAAAUCGUACGGUUCACCUUUUUAGUGUAUACGAAUAGUAAAAUUAGCGGGGUUACUAGUAAAAUACAUGCUAAUUCAUACACUAUAAUUCCUUUCUAUUUUCCCAAUUUUCAACGCACAAAUUUUUUUAUAAAUAAUGAAUAAGUUGGUUUUUAAAAAAGAGUGCAAUCUACAAGCUAUUUUAUAUAAAGAGAACAGAACACACAAUUCCCGUGUAAUUGAGCUUGCAACUUGUAAUAUACAAUAAUCAUACCAAUAUAACUUAGACAUGUGGAGCAAAGGAAGUAAUAAUCAAUGAGCAAUGCAGCCUCAAGCAACAACAACAAACGGAUCUAGAUUUAAGUGUGAAGCAACACCACAAACAUAAUCAAAGCAACACAGAUAAAAAAACAAGAGAAAGAAAAAAACAAAUCAAUAUUGUUUAUCCAGUUCAGUCCAAAAUAACCUAAUUAUAAGCAACUCUCCAAUCCACUAUGAUAAGAAUGAUAAAAAGAGGUUACAAGAAAUUAGCUAAAAAACUCAUAAAGAACAAACCCUAAUUAUAAUUUCUACCCAAUUUCAAGUCACCCACACUCACAAUGAAUCCAAAAAAAAAAAAAAUCUCAACAAAAACACUUAACUCUAAAGUUUCCUCCUUUAGUUUUCCAAAUUUCUCUCCCUUAAAGAUCUCUCAAAAAAUGAAGAAUGAAGUCUAGAAUCAAGAGAAAUUGUGCCACAAUUGACACCCAUUGUGCCACUAUUGCAGUUGUACACGAGUACAAUACUACAUUUUAUCCGUAACCGUGCCACGAUGUCUUUCCUUCAAGGCACGGUAUAUGAACACCACUAUGCACAAUAUUAAAAUGCAACAAAGUAUAUGAGAAAGAUUGAUAAAAUGAUAACUUUAUUUGUUUUCUAAGAGGACAGUAGUGAUAAAAGAAAUCCUUCCGAACAGAGCUUAAAAUAGGAGCGCCAAGAUGUCCUUAGUGGUGUUGCCGUAAUUAUUUGGAUAUAUAGACAAUGUUGGAUGGCGAAGAGUUUGUAGUGGUUGGUCUUGUUCUAAUUAGAUGUUGAAGAGUUUUUACCGAUUGCUCUUAUGCUAAUAUGAAGCAUUAUCCACUAGUUUUCCCCAAUCCUCAAGAUCUUGAUUAUGUAUUCUUGCUAAGGAAAGUCACUUUAUGCACUUACAAAAACCUCGUGCUUGGUAAUUGGUAUUAGUGAUUUACCACUAAGGUAAUGAUAUAUCCUUCUCUAUGUGGAUGAUAUAAUUCUUGUUGCGUCCUUAUAUUCCCUUCGUCAAUCCAUCAUAAAUUGUAACUAAACUCCUCUCUGAAUUUUCUAUGAAGGAUUUGGGUCCUCUUAGUUACUUUCUCAGUAUAUUUCUUAAUAGACACACAUGAAAUCUUUUUCUAUCAUGAAAAAAAUAUGACAAGGAAAUUAUUGAGCGCGCGGCUAUACCUACUUGCAAACCAUUUGCUACACACAAACCAACUAAGUGGCUCUUAUGGAAAUCCAUAUCAUGCUCCAACUAAAUAUUGUAGUCAUGUUGGGGCUUUGUAAUACUUGACUUUUACAAGACAAGAUACUCUUAUGUCAUGCAGCAAGUGUGUUUGUUUAUAUGCAUGACCUUAAAACACAACAUAUGUGUUUAUUUAAGAAAUUUUCGUGGUACUUUUGAUUUCGAUAUGCAUUUAUAUCCUUCCUCCAUUGAUGAGCUCGUCACAUACAAUAAUGUAGACUUUGAUAGAUGUACAAACACUAUAUGGCCUAUGUUAGGGACGGGUAUCGUGUAGGGACAACCUCAUCUCUAGACUCACCAAACAACAACCUACAUUUUCUCGAUCCAUUGCUGAAGUUAAAUAUCGUGCAGUCGGUAAUGUAUUAUCUUGGUCAAAUUUUCUUAGGAAUCAUCUUUUGGAACCAUAUUGUCAUAUCUUAAAGGUCACAUUAGUCUAUUGUGAUAAUGUAAGCACUUUGUGUAUCUCCCGUGAUCUCGUUCAACAUCAAUGCAUUAAGCACAUUGAGAUGAAUAUUAAUUUUGUGCUUGAGAAUGUUACUCAUGGUCAAGUUUGUGUGUUACAUGUUCCUUCAUAUUACCAAUAGAGGCCAUCUUCAAUAAGGGUCUUCCAUGACAACUCUUUGAUAACUUUUGACAUUGUCAAUGAUAAUGGCCUAAUAAACUCAAGCUUGGGAAAGAGCUCAGAGGGAGUAUGUCAAAUACCUUUUUCAGUGAUGCUAGAAUCCUACUGCAUUUUCAAUGAUAAUGUAUUAACCAUAUGCAAUAGCAGCAACAAACUGUCUCCAACACUGUCAACAAUUUUCACCUGAUCAUAUAAUUUAUAAAAUUCAAUUAGUUUCCACUCAAGAGUUAUCACAAAAAUUUAAUGGUUGUUAAAAGAAAUCUCCAGCAUAAAUUUAAUAGACAUUAUGGCAAGAAAGACAAAGAAUACUUUUUCUUUUUGUGUUAACACUCCGGUUCUCAUGGGAAAGGAGUUUUAGUUAUCCGAAGUUUGAUCAGGGUGCAAGUAAAUUGUAACCAUAAACUAUUCCACCGAGGAAUUAUACUCAGUUCUCUAACAAUUUUUCAUUGCUAAAGCGCAUUGUUCAUUAAUCUCACUUGAUUAUUCCAUUGAUAUUAGGAUUUUCGAAAUGGAAGUAUAACUCACACAAAUCCAAAGAUAUUUAAUUUCAGUCCAUUGUUCAGAAGGAUAUUAUGUUUUAAUUGCAUGCGUAUUAUUUAUUUAUUUUUUUGUCAAGUAGUUUAGUGGUUAAAGCUCACAUAAUUUAAUUGUGGAGAAGUGGAGUGUCCGGGGUUCGAACCCCGACUCCUGCAUAUAAUAUGCAAUAUCCCUACCAACUGAACUAAGCUCACGGGGAUUUUUGCAUGCCUAUUAUUAAUUCACCCUAAACCGGAAUUUAGCCAUUAAACCAAGAACACUUUUAUCUUUUUACUAUUCCUACUAGCGAACGAAAAGACGGACACACUUUUUAUUAUGCUAACGUUUGAAAUUAUGAACGGUGCUUUUUUAUGAAAUUUUGAUUUUGAUUAAAACUAAAAAAUAUAUAAAUUUUUAUUGCUUUCAAGUUAUAAAAAAAUCAAACUAACCAUAUCAAUUUCAACGACAUCGACAAUAAUACAAUAUAACAAAAAAUAUAUAAUCUAAUAUUUUUUUUUUUAAUGAAACCAACAACAAUUUUAUUAUAGAAAAAGUUGUUUAAGAGUAUAUUUGAGAUAAAGAAAAAGUAAGUAUAAAUUUACUAUCCAAUUUGUUACACUUUUUAAAUGAUAAAGGAAAAAAACAAAAAAAAUGUAUAUUCAUAUCGUAUUUGUUACAUUGGUUUUAAUAUCUAAAUUUAUUCUUAUCUAUUUGUAACAUGUGUUAUUUGUAUUGAAAAUAGAGGGUAUUUUUGGAAAGAAAAAUUCAACUCAAAAGUGCUUAAAUGAGUAGUUUUGUGUAUAUAUAUGGUAUAGAUAUAGUUUUUUUUUUACAAAAAUAAAUGAUAUUCAUUCAUUCAUAUUGAUAAAGUACAUCGUUACAAUGCAAAUUUGUUAAAAACAAAAAGAAUGAACAUGCGAACAAACUCACAACAUCAAUGUUAAUAGCAUAAAACUGCAAAGUACAAAAGUCUACACCCAUGACUAUAUUCAAGUCUACGGAAUACCCAUGUCUCCGGAUCUGCAACGCUGACGACGCCAAAGUCAUUGAUUGGAUCUGCACUAAUCUAAGCUGAUCUGACAUUUCGAACCGAACAAAUACAGGAACGAAACAAGAAAGACAAACAACGUCGCACAAAAACAACGAACAAAACAAUGUCGUACUAAGACGACGAAAUCACGAAAGAAAAAUAAAAUAGAUGUGAAAAUCACUUAUUUAUUUCAAUAAACGGAAAGAGAAAAAUGAGUUAGAGUGAUGAUUUUGGAUCAAAAAUUGACCCUAAAUCACCCUCGUUGAUGGAUGAAAAAAAAAAAAAAAAAAAACUAUGAUUUUGGUGAAAGUUUACAAGAGAGAAGUGUAUAACUUGCAAAAAAUAGUAUAGAUAUAGAUUUUUUUUUUUUUUUUUAAUAAUAGUAUAGAUAUAGAUAAAAACAUUAAAUAUGCGUAAAAAAACAAUAAAUAAAAUAUAACGUGAUUGUGAUGUAGAUAUUCAAUGAUAGUGUUUUAAAAGGAAAAAACUCAAAUCGUGGUACGGAAUUGCUAUGAUCAUCUCGUUCUAUGUGUGUCAAAUCCAUUAACACAAAAAUAGACAAAUCUCAAUUAAUCUACCAUAAGAAUCGGCGAAGGCGUCUUGUACAAAAUUAGUAAUAAGAAGUUCGAUCACAAUUUUGAUGAAGAAAAAACACGUUUCAUCAAAAAAUUUGUAGGGGACGUUUGCAAUGCAUCGAAAAUUAAAAUAUUAAAUUUGUUUAAUUAAAAAUUUUUAAAGAGUGCAUUUAGAACACUCGUCAACGGUCCUCCUGUCUUAAAUUAUAAGAAAAAAUUCAAAAAAUAAAAUAAAUUUAGUCCUAUUUAUAAAAAAGUGUUACAAUUUUUAAGGUGUUGUUAAUGCUUAAAAGUCUUUUAUACCUCUCAUUUAAUGUUUGUCAUUUUAAUUUGGGUCAUAUUAACUUAUGCCCUUAGGACACAUGUUAAGCAUUAAUUUCAUUCCAUUAAUGGUAAAAAAUUAUUGAAAAAAAAUGAAUAUUAAACAAUUUGAGCAAUAAAUUAACACAAUUUUCAAUACGUAAUUUCUAUUAGUGGAAUUCAUUCUUAACAUGUGCCCUAAGGACACAAGUUAACAUUUCUUUUUAACAUUAGUGAUUGUAUUUAAUGUUUCACAACUUUCUAUAAAGAUAUAUUUGUAAAAAUAUUUUAAAAGUUUUGAGAAAUAUAGGAGAAAAUUAAAAUCAUCUAACUUCCAUGAUGAUGCUAACUUGUACACUUAGGGCACAUGAUAAAAAUUCGAUUAAUAGAAAUUAGUAUUUAAAAUUCUGUUAAUUUAUUGCUCAAAUAUUGAAUAUUAAUAUUUUGCAAUAAAUUUUUAUUUUUAGUAGAAUGCUCAAGAUCUACGCUAUGACACAAGUUAGCAUAACCUUUUUUAUUUAACUUUUUAUAAUAAGAAUUAGAGGGAGUAUUGAAGAACGAAAGAAGAGAGUGGUAUUAUAAAGUCAAAACCUAAGGCCAUUGAUUGAGAUCACUUGCCACUCUGUUUUCCUUUUUCCCAAAUUGCAGUUUCCAUAUUCUUUUUCUAGGUUGUUGAGGUUUUCCUUUCUUCUUUUUGUCUUAAUCCGUUUUCAUUUUUCUUUCUUUUAUUCUCACGUUUAAAAGCAUAUGUAAACCGCAAAAUAAAAUAUUUUAUCUUCUUAAACGUGAUUUCUCAUCUUCUUAAACAUAUUUUUUUCUUAUUGUAAUAGGAGAACACAAUGAUGAUAUGGAGAACACAACUCGGACCAAGGGGAUCUAUGCCAUUGAGGCUCUGCGACACAACUGUGGAGCUGCCUUGGGCAUGGGUGGAAUCGGUAAAUAGGUAAUGAAACCAAUUAUGCCUAUAUAUGUUUGCAUUUUGACCCUCACUUACUCUUGCUUUCUUUCAUUUUUGUUGCUUGCUAUCUAUUUUUUUAAUUCUCUUCAGCUUAUAUAAUUUUCACCCUAUCUUUUUAGAAGUAAAUGAUACUAGUUGUGUUCACCUCUUUCUUCUCAUUACUUGAUAUAAUUUUACUCUCAAAUUUUCAACUUUUUACUAUAAAAAACAAUGUCAAUUAUACUUUGUACAAGUGAAACAAGUCUUACAUCAUUUGUAGCUAGUUUGUCGUACCAUUAAAUUAAUAAAUCUCAUCAUAAAUUAAACAAGAUAUAAGGUUGUUCCCUUAUAUAUACAUAGUAUUUUUCAAUUGAGGAAGGGGAAAUUUUGCUAGUAACAGUUGCAUUAAGGGGGUCUGUUUAGGUGAUAUUUGAACUUUAUUUCCUGAAAUUAGGAAGUGAAACUCUAUCAACUGAGCUGACAUAUUUUGGACAUACUAAGAGUAUAUGUUUUGGCAUAAAUUUAUCAUAUCUACAUUUUCACCUUCUAGCAUAAUAAUUAUUGAUGGGCAGAAUAGCAAGUGUAUUAUAUCGUAGUCAAGUAGUAGUAUUUAUAAAAGUUCAUCUUCACAAAGAUUGUGUAAUUUUAACUAAACAAAAUCAAUUGUUCUUAAGAUGCGUAAAUUAGGGAAGUUGCACUAGGCAAUAAGUUCGAUUUGCAGAGAGAAAAAAAAUAAAAGAUAUAAAAUUAAAUUAACAAAAAUGAUCAGGUCAAUUUGAUUCAUUUCUUUGCAUUGUUGGUAAGUACAAAUUAUGAAUACAAUUUGAACUAAUUACUUUAAGAUAUUUGAUCAAAAUAGCUAUGUCAAUAUCUUGGUCACUAGUCCCUAAUUUCUUAGGUGAACGCAUGUCCAUUGAAAGUUUAAGAACGCGAAAUUAAGUAAACUAAUAUUCCUGUUAUGAUAGGCAAUAACUGGACAAUAUAUACUAAUUCUACUAUAAAGGCUAAUAAUUCAGAUCAAUCUAUGAAUAAUAAUAUAAACAUAGAUAAAAUUUAACAUAAGUAUAAUUGAAUGAACUAAGUAAAGCAAUCAACUGAAAUUCAUAGGAUAAUUCAAAGUUACAAGAACAAACAAUUACAUAGAAGAUCAUCUACUUAACCUAAUCAAGGAGAAUUUAGUUAGACAUGGAGAGAAGAAUAAAUAACAUGAAAAGUAAAAUAACCAUAAUGGAAUUGCUCCUCGAAUCAUCCUCCUCCCUUGGUCAUGCGGCUGCUCCCUCUUGGAGUUGCAUUAAGGAAACUCUAACUUUAUGCAACACGAUGAAACAAUUCUCAAUUUUUCAAGAUCCCAUGACGCAAUUCAAUGCGAAGUUUUACUUGAACAUUUAUCUUUGAACUCGUGACGCGCAACUCAUAGCACGUGUCACAAGUAAAAAAGAGGUUGAUCCUUCUGCUUUUUUUUUUUUCAUUCCUUACCCUAUUUUUCAUCACCAAAAGAUCCAUAACAACUAUACCCAAAAAAUCAACUUGAUAAAACCUGUAAUAAGCAUAGUACAGUUACAAAGUUGUCUAGUUUGGGAGAUUUUAACAUGUUAAAGGCCUUUUAUCCAUUUUUGCUCUUUCAUAAAUUUUGAACUGGUCAAUCCUUUAAAAAUCUCAACAAAAAUACAAAUAAACUUGCCACUUUUACCCUAAAAUGACUCUAAAAAGACACUUAAAAUCUUAUAUGACUUCAUGUCAUCAUUAAUCUUUUCCCACAUGCGUACUUUAGUUCCACGGCUAGAAAUCUAGCUAUUAGUGACUGAUUUGGACACUAUAAUUUUUCGGUCACUUUGAUGACCAAAAUAGAGACUUAAUACUCAAAUUCAUAACGAAAUAUUGUGUCUCUAAAUUACUCACAAAUUUUGAUUAGUGGCCGAAUUCAAGACAUAUGUUUGGGGACAAACAAUCGGUCGCUGUUGGGUUUAUGAUUCCAAGGCUUUUUUUGACUUUUUCGAAUAAUAAAAACAAAAAACAAAAAAGGAGCAAGUUUAUUCAGUUCCCCCUAACUUUUGGGUAAAAGGAAAAUUCUCUCAAUUUUCUAAUUUUUUUGGUGGUGGCCGGGGUUCGAACCCCGACCUUACAUAUUUUAUGUGUUGUCCAUAUCAAUUGAGCUAAACUCACGAGGACUCAAUUUUCUAAUUAAUCUUGCGACAAUGUUUCCGUCUCAUUUUUUUUAGCCCAUAAGUUUACUAUUUCCCUUCAUUUCAUCUAAUUUUUUUCUCCAAUUUCUCUGUCCCACGCUACACGCUACACACUAAAAACUUUAAUUUUUUCAACUUCUAUAUCAAUCUCAUCUCUUCGAUACUAAGAUUUUGUAACCCUAAUAUUACCCUCUAAGUUAGAACAAAAUCUAUUUUAUUCACGACACCCUAACCUAUAGUUGGGAACUUGAAAUUGAAAUCAUUAAAUGCAAUCGAAAUCCCUAUCCACAAUGAAAGAGUGGUGACUGAACAAUGAAAGAUCGACGACACGCAUAAGUUUAGAUGAUGAACAAACCGUUCACAUUGCGCGUUUCUAUUUUCAAACCUUCAUUUUCUCCUCCAAUAGACCCCCCUUUUUCUCAUAGAAGAGUCAAUUGUUCAUGUAUGUUUUUAUUUUUGACUAAAGUACACUACCCUUUCCUCAUAGAAGUUUGGAUUACACUCUCUUCCCGUUUUAUGUUAAAAUUUACACCCUCCUCCUUUAAAAAGUAAAAUUUAUACUCCCCUACCCUAUGAGAUGCUUGAAUUACACACCUCUCCCUUAAUAAUUAAAUAUGCACUACACUUUAAUUUAUUUUGACAUAAAUAAAUAUUUUUAUGAUAUAUAAUAAUUUUGAACCACCAUUUAAGUAAAAUUUAUUAAUUUCUUUACGAUUUAAUUUUCAAUGAUAAUUAAAUUUAAUUAUUUUGUUAUUAAUUUUAUAAUUAGAGUGUAAAAUUCACUAUUAAAUAACUAUACUUUAUCGACUUUAGUAAUUUUUCACAUAUUUUAAUUUUAUUUUAUGUUGUUUCAUAUUUUAUAAUAGGGUUUAAAACUAUAUGUUAAUGAAAUUGUGAAUUAAAAAUAGCAAACUAUAUGCAUUCAAACUUUGAUUAUAUAAAAUGGACAUGCCCAGAACAAAAAAAAAAGGAUCUGCAAUAUUUUUCUUUCACAUGUGUUAGAUUUUAUUUUUCUAGAUUAUUAGAAAUAAAAAAAAAUAUAUUAAGGGAGUAAAAUGUAGAUUUUAACAUAAGAAGGGAGGGAAAUGUAAUUCAAGCUACUUUUAAGGGAGGAGAGUGAAAUAUUUUCCAAUAUAUUUAUGAAUAAGUGGGAAGGGAAAUGUAUAUUUUAUCAUAAGAGGGGAUAUGAGUGUAAUUCAAAAUCUUUUAAGGAAAUGGAGUGUAAUUUACUACUUAUUUUUCUCUCAAUUUUCAAAUUAAAAAGGGUUUUUUUAGUAGUUUUAAUUUGACUUUGUAUUUGUGGGUUUGGUUUGGACAGGUUACUAGGUUAUUCGGACCAGCUAUAUUUAAAGCUAUAUAACCUCAAAAUUCAUUUUGGCAAAUUCACAAACAAUAAAUAUCUCUCAGGUACUUUUCAUGAAUGUGACUCUUUAUUUCCACUUUUUUUUUUUUUGAGCUCUUUUUAUUUUCACUUGAUGUUCAUUAUAAAUUAUAAAGCAUUCAACUUUCACAAACAUUUUUGCAAUUAAUUUACUCUUCUGUUUUUUCUUUGUUGAAAAUUUGCUGCUAUGCUUUUACGACUUUUGAUCUGUACUAGCCACAUAAUAUUAGUGAGUGGGACUUCUUUCGUAUAGAUAGAGUUUAAUGAUGGUGGGUUGACAGUCCAAAAUAAUUUUACACAAACGAUCAAUCAAAAUAUUUAUAAUCGUCACAUCAAUUAAUAUUGUUAAUUUACGUGGCAAUUUAGAACGUUUUGAUUGGUCAUGUAAUAUUUUUUAGAAUGUUUUGAUUGGUCAUGUUAAACAUCAAUAUGAGCAGUAGUGUAAAAUAGCUUCAAUUCUGCUCUUCUCCUAUCAAAAAUUGCUUACUACCAACCAAACUUUCGAAAAUAUUUAUGCGUGAGUUAACUUAUGCUGAAGGUUUAGUGUGAAUUUUUAGUGUGACUUAAAUCACGUUGAGUUUAACACAUGCGUGACUUAACUUACGUCACGGGUAUUUUUGAAAGUUUGAUUGAAAGUGAGCAAAUUUUAUUGGGAGAAUAGCAGAGUUCAAAUACCUUAUUGGGAGAAUAGCAGAGUUCAAAUUUCCCCUAAAAAACACUUCAAAAUCAUUGUUCUACCGAUCUUUCAGAUUGUUCAAUCUUUAAAAUAAAUCGAUAAAAAGAUACAUCCAUUCUAAAAAAUAACAAUAAGAUUGUAACUCCCAGUAAAUUUUGUAUACGAGUUACGGUUAGAGAGACUUUACUCCCAACAUGAAGACUUUACGAUUAGAAGAAACUAGUUCAAGUCCCUCGUGCUUGGGGAAUAUCCCUUUGUUAAUCAAGAAGAAUUUAGUCUCCAUGUUUUUUUUUUAGUCUCCAUGUUGUAUUGAUGUUGUUUGACCAAGGAUGAUAAUAUAUAUAUAUAUAUGAUAAAUUGCAUUUUUGGUCCCUAACUAUUUAAGUAAUAUCGCUUUGGUCCUUUAACUAUUUAGGUAGUAUCGCUUUGCUCCCUUAAUUAAAAUUCGAUUUAUUUUGAUCCCUUAACUUCUCUCUGUUACACAUUUUGGUCAUUUCCGUUAGUUUUAAUUCAAAAACGUUAGGUUUUCAUUUUCUUCUGGAAUUUUUCUGGAAUUCUCGUUGUUGAAGAUUGAUGGAGAUGAUAUGAAGAUUAAAAAGAGAAGAAGAAGAUGAAGAAAACCUAACGUUUUUGAAUUAAAACUAACGGAAAUGACCAAAAUGUAUAAUGGAGAGAAGUUAAGAGACAAAAAUAAAUCGAAUUUUAAUUAAGGAAUCAAAACGAUACCACCUAAAUAGUUAAGGGGCAAGAAAUGCAAUUUACCCUAAUAUAUAUUUUCUCAUCAAGGAUAAAAAUAUAUUAUUUGACGUGACCAAGGAUAAUAAAUAAUAGUACACCAUCCAUAUCUUGUGCUGUGUAUCACAUAAAUAUUUUUCAGUUAAGUUUUUCCUAACAUGUGAUACGUGCAUCACAACCUAUUCCACAAGUCAUUCAUUUCCAACUUCUUCUUGGUAUGAAAAUUGAUAAUGUUCAACUAACGUGAAGUGACGUUGUGGUGCAGUCCUUUCACAUGCAGGUGCAGUUUUGUAGUUCCUCGUAGGGGUGGACAACGGUCGGGUAUGGGUGGGUUCGGGCUCAGAAAGCUCAAUCCGAAACAAUCCACGGUUGAGAAUUCAAGGCCCAAUUUCACCCAAAUGAAGCAACGGUUAUGGCGGGUCUCGGUUAAUCGGUUUCAGCGGAUGUUAUGGGUGGGUUAUGUCGGAUGAGGCCAACAUUGGGCCGGUGAUGCAUUUUUGGCCCAUCGCUGUUUUUCAAAUAUUUUUAACCAUAAUUUCCAAAUUGGAUCAGUUCAUGAUUCCAUCCCCUCUCAAUCUAAGUUGCCAAUGAAAUACAAAUAAAUUAAGCAUAUUUUCUUGUCAUAUCAUACAAGAGUUAAGUUGGCUUAGAAAAGCCUAAUUACAUCAUUUGAUCAUUCAUGAUUCAGCCCUGUAAUAGGAAAUAAACAUGAAUUUAGUUGGUUUAAAGAAGCCCAACUACAUCAUUCAUGAUAAUUCAUCAUCCAUGUGAUAGGUAUCUGGUAUUCCUGUAUCAUAAUAUUACAAACUUCAAAUAAAUAAAAGUACGACUGUGCAAUACGUUUAGAGUUGAUAAGACUGCACAACACAACCAACAACUUAAACUUUACAAUGCCAUAAUUACAAUCAUCCAUAAUUCUACAAAUACAUUGGCAGGAGAUGCUUGCAGUUGCUGAUGCUGCAACAUGGUCACACAAAUAUAGCUGCACAACAAGAGGGACAAAAUGUUAUAAGAUAUAAAUUUUGUAUUUUUUUAUAGAUGAAGUUAGAAUCAAGACUAAAUUCAAUAAAUAAACUAAAACUAACCUUGAUUGUGUUCAAAUUAAUAUCACAUCUCAUCAUUUCAGCAAGUACAAGAGUAGCCACACCCAAGUUAACAUCAAUAAUCUGCUUGAAUAAUGAAAAUCAAAAGCAAUGUGUUACCAACACAUUUCAUCACAGUAAAAUCAUCACAAUAAAAUCAUUAUGCAUCCUACAUUAUUGUACCUUUGUGCAACAGUUUGGGAUAAAAACAGUGAACUCUCCUACAUUACCAUCACUAGAGCUGACCUCUAGAUUUAUAACUGCAUCACUGACUUGAAAAAAAGAAGAAUAAAACAAACAGUAAGGGAUUUAAAACCAUGAUAACUACAAGCAUUAUCAAGUAACACUUACUAAGCCUAACAUACCUUAGCAUAAGCAUUAAACAUCGUUUAAACAGCAGUGUAUAUGCUAUCAAUCAAGCAAAAAUGUGAGACCAUGGAGCCAAGCAAGCAAGCAUCUACAUUUCAAAAUGUCUUCAAACAUACAAGUUGGAUUAAAAUCCUUCAUCAUCCUCCAGAUGCUUCCAAAAAGAGUUGCUGUGUAUAUUCCACAAAAAGUAGAUUCUCCCAAAAAAUGCACUAAGCAAAGUCAUUAAUCAUUAUGAUUAAUGACACCAAAAAAGGGUUAAGAACCUGUAAAUAAAAACAAUAACUACAUUAAUAAAAUAAACAAUGGCAUAACUUAAUAAAAUAAAUAAUAACAUAAACACAAAUAAUGAAAAAUAAUAUAAUCACUAACACUAGUUUUUUCAAUCACAGCUCAUUGGCUGUGAUUGAGAUGAUGAUGCAUCUCCUUGUACAACAGCUGCUCUAAAACCACAAGAUGUUGAUCCAUUAGCUGAUGGUCCAUCAAAUUCUAUAUACAAAUACAAGGACCAAACAAUAUGAUUAGUUAAUGGCAUUUAAACAAGAAUAAAUGCCACACAUUUAAAAGUUAAAAUAAACAUAUUAAAUACCUGAUACAACAGUGGCAGACAGCUCAAAUUCCUCAUUUAUGUUGAGGUCUUUGAAUUGAUUCAAAGUGGGUUUCAACCAAUUUUGUGCACAGAUCAAUGCCUCUGCCAUUUGUGGGUUCAAUGAACUUCUAUAUGUAUCUAAAACUCUUCCUCCAGUGCUAAAGGCACUUUCAGAAGCCACAGUUGAAACUGGUGUAGCUAAAACAUCCCUCACCAUGGAUGACAAAACAGGAUAACGACAAGAGUUUUGUUUCCACCAAAGAAGGAUCUCAAAGUUGACAUCCUCCGCACGCUCCUCAUCUAGGUACCUUUCAAGCUCAUUUUUUUUAACUAUUGAUUCCUUCAGUUUAAGAUGCUCCUUAAAAGCUUCAGCCCUUGCCAAAUGAGAUGGGACUUCAGCUGGGAUCACAUUCUCGCUAACAUAACUAGACUCGGAUGGACUUGCAGACGGAUGACCAGAAUUAUGUUGCUGGUCAUAGGCAUCCUUGUACCAAUUGAACAGUUUGAAUAGCUGAGUAUGGAUCACAGCAAUCAGAUCAGUAAAAAAUGUAGGUUGGUCACCAUACAUGUCAUUGAAGCACCACUCCACAUAACUAAACUUGUAUCGAGGGUCAAGAAUCACACCAAAGUAAAUAAGCUUGUUGAUGUUUUCAAUUUUACCCCAAUACUUGUUGUAUUUCUGCUUCAUGUCAGACCCCAUUGAAGCUAAAACUGUGUUCAGGUUCAUGGCUGAUCUUUUCAACUCACAAUGAACAGAAGCUAGUUGGUGGAAUGCCUUGUGCAAAGACACUUCCUGAGAUGAGGAAAACUCCUUGGUAGCAUCAUAGAAAAUUUUUAGAAACCUGACAAAACACCUAACAUUCUCCCAGUCAUGAAUACUAGGAGGACCAGCUUCCCCAAAAAACUCCAAAUACCCAGAAUCUUCACCCUCCAACUUCUCAAAGGCUGGUUGGAAUUUCUCAGCACCAUCUAGCAUUAAAUACGCUGUGUUCCACCUUGUUUGGACAUCAAGACACAACAUCUUCUUACAAGUAAUUCUAGCAAACUCAAUGCACUCUUUAAAUUUUGCAGAUCUUUGGGGUGACGAUCUCACAAACCUAACAGCAUUUCUAAUUGAAGAAAUAGAGAGCUCAUUUUGUUUUAAACCAUCCCCCACCACAAGGUUUAGGAUAUGAGCGCAACAACGAAGAUGAAAGAAAGAACCAUCACCCAUUAAACCUCCCAUGUUAUUAAUUCUUUUCUUCAAGUAAGCAACAGCUACAUCAUUAGAAGAUGCAUUGUCCACUGUUAUUGUAGACACAUUCCUUAUCCCCCACUCUUUCAAAAUCUCUUCCACUUUCCUACCAAUUGUGUCACCCUUAUGAUUGGGGACUGUGCAAAAACUCAAGAUUCUUUUUUCAUACUUCCAGUCAUUGUUAAUGAAAUGGGCAGUGAGGGUCAUAUAGCUAAAGUUUUGACCAGAUGUCCAACAAUCAGUGGUUAAAGCUACCCUAACACAGUCUGAUUUGAAAUAUGUUUUUAAUCUCAGAUUUUCAUCAAGAAAGAGCUGGAAACAGUCCCUAGCCACAGUCCUCCUAGAUGGAAUGGUUAAGAGAGGUUGCAACUGUCUACAUAAGAGCUUAAAACCUUCCCCUUCAACUACUCUAAAAGCAUGUUCAUCUAGAAGUACAAAUAAAGCUAUAGCCUUCCUACAAGCUGCAGGAUUAAAUCUUUGGCUAGCAGCAACUAAAGUACCACCCUCCCCAUUAGAAAACAUAAGAGAAGCUUGUGUAGGAUCAUUUUGUGGAUUUUUAAAGCAUACUUUUGAGUGGGCCAGCAAGUUAGAAGUUCCAUGAGUUUUUGGAUCACAUAAAUAUCUUUUAUGACAGUGUAUGCAUGCAGCAGUAGGUUCUGGUUCAUCAGGUAACUUAAUGAAGUGGUCCCAGGCUGGAGAGGUUCUCCUAGGACCACCAGCAUUAGGCUUCCUCCUUUUUGCAAGACAAGGGAGAGGAGGAAGCCCGACAACAGGAACUUGAGUAGCAACUGCUACUUGUUCAGUAGGCUCAGCAACAUUAGCGCUUCCAGAUGUUAAGGUAGAAGACAAAUUUUGACUUAUACUCUCCAUUACUGAAAACAUGAAGAUUAAGUAAAAAAAACGUCAACCACAUCAACUUAAAUAUUUCAUAGCUUUAUAUUUACAUGUUCAAAAAGGAUGGAUUAAAAAACUUACCUUUUCAACAGCUUAAUCAAUAAUCACUACAAACUUAAAUACCACCAAAAAGCCAAUAACCUUCAAAAAUAAAAAGGAUAAUUGUUAGUAAAGCUUGUUUCUAGAAUUGUUUUUUACUCUCAAAUUUAUUGUUAAAUCAUUUUUGCACGAAUAUAUUUGUUGAGCUUGAAUUGAACAUUGAAAAUAAAGCAUGCUUCAGCAACUCUUUGAUUCAAGAUUAUCAUGACAGUCCUUGCGUUUACUUUGAAAGAAAACAGUAAAGAAACUACCAAAACAAAAAAGAAUUACAAAAACUUGUUUGAUUUAGUUUAGAAAAAGUUUUUUUUACAUUUCUAACAAAAAUUACAAAUUAAAACCCAGUUUGAAUUUAUUAGAAAUAAAGUAAGAACAAACCAAAAAAGUAAAAACAAACCAAAAAAGAAAAAUAAUGAACACAAGCAUAUAGUCAUAUACCUUCUAUUUCUUUAAGUUGAGCUUUGAUUUGUUCUUCAGAUAAGAGAAAAUGAACAUACAAAGUAAAAAAGAAAACUUGGUUAGAUGGAUAAGUAAACUUUGAUUUCUUCUAUGAUGAAAAAAUGCAAACCCUAGCCAACAAAAUAGUGAAUACGAUACAACACGUACCUUUGUGAAAAUCGAUCUACUAGUACCAAACAUCUGUCAAACACAUCCGCAAAAGAUGAACUUAAUUAGAUGGAUAACAGAAAAAUCAAGAGAUUAAGUGAAGAAAACGAAAACGAAAAUGAACUUACGAAAAUGAACACUUACGAAAACGAAAACGAAAACGAAAAUGGACAGACAUCUUCUUUGGGUUUCAAAAUGAAAUCGAUCGAGAGAGAGGGAGGAAGUGGUGGUCAAUAUGUUUACGACGGUGGCGCAGUGAAACUGGCUUUCCUUCAACUUCCAGAACUCGUUCUCUCUCUUUCUCUCAAUGAAUGGAUAAGUAUGAGUGUGUGUUUUGAUAUAACCCUAGUUUGUUGUCAAUGGAUCUAAAGAAUUGGGCUUAAAUUUGAUCCAAGCAAAAGUCCAGCAACUUAACAAGAAUAGGGCCUUAGGGGUAAAAAAAUACUGAUUGAAUAUUAGUUGGGCUCGGUCGGAUUUGGGUUUCGAUGGGCCUGAAAAUUCAAUCCGAGCCCGCCCAUCUAAACCCAUCUGAAACCAUUCCUUCAAUCCGCCCAACCCGGAAACCGACCCGCUACCCACCCAGACUUUCAAUUUUCCAACGGGUUUGCCGGGUUCGGGUCGGGUCGACUAUUGUUGUCCACCCCUAGUUUACUUCCUCGCAUUCAUGAAGAGAGAUUCCUCAACUUCUUUUCGAUGUGAUUGAUAAGCUUUGUAUAGGUCAAUUGAGUAUAACCAUAACCUCUAAUUCAAAUUUUAAAUACAAUUAAUUCAGGCAUGUCUAGAGACCAGAACCUUCUCUUUUACGAAAGAGCAAUGAUAUUUGUAUAUGUAUUUAAUGAUAAUUUUAAUGAUAACUUUGUUUUUCAUUUUUUUGAUUGGUCAAAAACAAUGAAAAGAGAAGAAAAAAAAAAUAACAUCAUGUGAGUAUGAGAGAAAAAAUUGUUAAAAAGUUAUAGCAAAAUGAUUAUACCAAUAUCAUUUCUCAUUACGAAAUUAACAAAAGUAAUUAAAAAUAUCUCUUAAAAAGACAUUCAUUCAAAUGGACAGAAAAUACAUCAAAUUUUGAUACAAAAUUCAAUAUCACUAAAAAUGCACAUGCUCUAUGAAUUUGCGAACAAAGUUACAAAUAUGACCAAAUUAUGUUGUCGGGAAUAUCCAAUAUCCCUCUAAAUAUGUACUAAUAGUUAAUUAAAUCAUUAGUUAAAUCUACACUGAAUCAUAACUAAUAUGUUGAUCUAAACCGAACAAACAUCAUGACAAAACAGAAAAGCAAACAACACCGCAUCAAAACGACGAAAAAACCAAAUAUUUCUCUAAGACAACAAAAUCAGAAAAGGAAAAAUUAAACAUACAUGAAUCCACUUACUUCCUCCGUCUCACAAUUAUUGUCUAUUUAGCAUUUUUUUUUCUUUUUCUCAAAAUAACUGUCACUUUACAAUACCAAUGUAACAUUUAUUAUUUUUUUCACUAUUAUACACUUAUUUAUUGAAUUUCAUCUAACAUAACUACAAUUAAUAAGAGUGUUUUAGUAAAUGUCACCAAUUUUUCAAUUGAAAUCAACACAAUUAAUCAUUUCAUUAAUAAUCGUGCACAAAUCUUAAACGACUAAUAUUGUGAGACGGAUGGAGUAGAUAAAUGGAAUAACUCCACUUGUACACUAUAUACAUAUCACACAAUACGACCAUGUUUUUCUAUAUAUAUAUAUAUAUAUUUGUCAAGUAAUUUAAUGGUUAGAACUCGCACGUUUAAAUAUGGAUAUACACAUACCCCGUAUUUAAUAUGCAAUAUUCAUAGCAACUCAGAUAAAUUCAUGAGGAUAAAAAUUAUUAAAAUAAAAUCCAAAUUCUUUAAAAAUAAUAAUAAUUCUAAAUGUGAUUGCAGUUUGUAAAAUUGAUGUGAGAGGUACGGCAAGUGACUUUAUUCAUUACCUAAAGCAGUGCAACGAGGGAUAGGGUGAAGUAGAAGGGAAAUGACGCCCAGACAUUUAACAUGGCCCUAUGAAGGGACAUCUAGGGGAAAUAAUAGAAUUCUGUUUUUUAUCUAAAUGGUUUCGCUUAUUUUCAAAGUAAAUGUUCAGAAUAUUCGUAUGUAUGUUAACUCACGCUAAUGCAAAUGUCAAAGUAAGUUAACAUACGCUGCGUGAGUUAUUUUCACCCAUAUCCAUACUAUGGACAACAGAGAUCACAAAUCCUUAUUAUAAGUCACCACACCACACCACACCACACCACACGUAAAUGAUGCUUAAAAAGUGGAAUAUGGGUGAAAGAAACCAGAGUUGGACUUCACUCAACUCACGCUGAGAUUUCAGUGUUUUUUUUUUUUUUUUGGAUUGACUUAAUUCACACAGCGUAUGUUAAUUUACGUUGACAUUUGCACUAUUGUGAGUUAACAUAUGUAGCAUAAAUUAAUAUAUGUAGGGAUAUUUUAGACAUUUAUUUUGGAAAUGAGCGAAAUCAUUUAAAGAAUGAGCAAAAUUCAAAAUAAUAAACUAUUAAAAACUCAAUCAAAUAAAGUGGAAGAAUCGAGGUUGGAACGUCAACCAUAACAUCCAACCUUACAAUUUUAAUAUUUCUAUCCAUAUAUUUAAAAUUUGUAAAUAAAACAUAAAACAAAAAAAAAAAAAAUGAAAACAUAUCGCUUUUUUUAAUAUUUCUAUCCAUAUAAUUGAGUGAUGUGUAUGCGUAAGUUCUGUAUAUGAUCUCCAAAUUAAAAAUCUCUAUUGUGGAUGCCCUUACGAGUACAACAAAAAAAUUGACAAGAGAUAUGCAAGUUGCCCAUAACUUUAAUUUGCAAGAUUCCCAUGGUGAUAGAUUAUACGUGUGGACAAAAAGCCAAAAUCCGUCCGAAACCAGUAAAUCCGAGUGUCAAAACGGAUAAACGGGUGGGUUUAUACGAAUCAUCGGAUUUUCAAGUGAGCUUUUACGGUUUCUAGCGAGUUUAAAAGGAUGGGCUCAGAUGUCCAUAAUACAUCCAUUAAAAACCGAAUUCGACCAUCAUGCAUUGUCCAUAUUAUAUUAUGAGAAAUGAUAUUUGUACAACUAUUUUUUAACAACUUUCUCUCUCAUACCCACAUUAAAUUUUUACUUUCUUUCUCUAUUGCUUUAACUUUUAUGUCAAUACAUCAUUUCUUUGUAAAUUAUAGUAUCUCAAAAGUUGUGAUUAAAAUGCUCGUUCAAAUAACACAACUCUUAUAUUAUAUAGUAGUUCAUUCAAAUGCUAUAUUAUGUGUUCAGGUUUGACUAGACAACUCAAACUUUGUCAUUAGAGCACCAUUAUCGGUUGUUUUGAGCAAGUAUCUUCACAAUAACCAAGGCUAAUGUGUCAGGUUCCAUGGAUAAUUGGCAUAAAAGUUGGGUAGUAUUGUUUGGCAUGGUAGCAAUGCAUUACCACGGUGGCUUUAGUUGAGUUGCAAUAAAAUAAUACUAUAUAGAAUCAAAAUAUGAUAAAGCAAUACAAUGUAAUUAAUUUAUGGACCCAUUUAAAGUACAUAUUGUAAGAUAAGUGAGACCUAUUUUAGAGUUUUUGAGGAGUGGUAUGAAUAUUUAGAAAAUAUAGUUGAGUGGUUAUGGUAUGGAUGUGGGUGCUCUUAGUAAUAAAAUACUACUACUACACUCUAGAAAAAAAGUAACGAUCGCAUCUCAUUGAAAAUUGCUUAUUAUCAAGACAUGAAGUUACAAGAACAAACUUUAAUUUUCAUUGAGUCUAAGUAUUUACACUCCUCUCUCUCUCAAGAGCCCAGUUAAGGUCUUCACCUUACACUCUCUUUUCCUCUCUUAUCUCUUGAUCUGAAACUAUGGAAAGAGUUGUCCUCAAAGCUUUGUGCAGCACCUAUCAUUUUUAGAUACCAUUUCCAGCCAUUGUCAUCAGCUUUCAUGUUUACUAUAAAUUAGAUCUAUUUAAUUUAUAUUUUUCUCUUAAGUUCUACUAUUUGAAACAAAAUAAUUGUUUCUCAUCCCUAUUUUUCCUACUCUCAACUUAUUUUUAUGUUUUAUGUUCUUAAUGAAUUAAUGAUCAUGGAGAUGAUGAUCCAGUGAAGAACCCGAACAAAUGUUAAUCUUCCAAACAGUGAGUGCUUCCUAACAUAAUAUUUUGGCUCUUUGAUCCACCCAGUACUAUGAAAAUCACUAACACACAUUUUUUCCAACCCAAACAUCAAAUAUCACAACAAAACCUUCUCAUUUACUAAUAAAAACAGAGUUUACGGAAAACCAAGAACAAAAAAGCUAUUAAACACAUAUUUCUAACGAAGAUCAACCCUUCUUAAUGUAUUUUAUCAAGAAAUUAAGGUAUAUAUAUACAUACAUACACCAUUGUGUGCUUAGUAUAGCAGCCAUGUAACAUGUCUAUACAGAGGUACACACAGGUCAUGAAUGAAGCAUUUGUGUGGUCAUUGUAGUAUCUUCUUAUACGUGAUUUGUCUUCUUUAACAUUUUUCUCAAUUGUGGCUGCAGUAGGAGAUGAUGCGUAGGAACCUCGGCGGAGAACACGGCGACGUUCAAGGUGUGCUAUGGCGACACAAAUGUGGAGCUUACAGUUGGGCAUGGGUGGAAUCGGUAAUAUAAAGCAACCUAUAUUUGCAUUUUGUUCUUCACUUGCUCUUGCUUUCUUUUCUUGAAUUGUCCUCUAUUUUUCUAUUAUAUUCAUUGCUUACAUUUUUUUAGAAUUGUUAUUGACACAUUGAAAAAGGCUGAGGCACACGAGUAAUUUACGUUUUUACCCCCUCGACAGUCGGUGGUUAACUGCCGAGGAAUAUGUUUCAUCAGAUGAAACAGUCACCUGCUCCCCCUACAUACUAUUUUUAUCAUCAACUUCAAUACCACCUCCAUUCAAUCCCCAAAUUCAAUAUUUUUUUCAUCAAAUCUUGAUCCAAAAUCAUUCCAGCAUCAAGCAUAGGAGGUAUCAACACACUUUUGACGUAAAAAAAACAGGUAUUGAGCAUUUUAAUCCGUUCAUUUUUUGGUUUCGUUAUGGGUAUCUACGUCAGUUACGUAGAACUCUGUCAUGGGAAACCUCGGCAGUUAACUGCAGAGGAAAACUUCGGUAGUCUAGUGCCGAGGAAAACCUCGGUAGUAAGGUGUCGAGAAACUCUUGUGAAAAAUUUCCACAACGAAAAAAUGGCAGCUACUGCUAGUUUUUUUUUUUUUUAAUUCAUUAUGACAUUGAUGUUUAUGCAUUAGUUAGUUGUUAAUUCAUAUUUAUAUGUUGUUUAAUUAUAGUAAUGGUAGAGAACGCGGAAGAUGUUCCAGGAGAAACAAAAACAAAUUUUGUCGAAUUUUCUGGAGAUGUCAAACCGCCUAAGGUUGAAGCGAAACCAAACAUUGAUUGAGCUUCCGUCCAUGUUGAAGCUUCAAAGUAAAUUGGCGGCUCCGGUGUCCUCCCACUUCAAGCCCACGAGGUUGACACGACUAGGUUUUUUUCGGACGACGUUAAGUCGAAAGAUAGAGAAGAAUUGCUUGAGUGGGCGCGUCGUCAAGCAAAUAAGGCGGGAUUUACAAUUGUUACACAAAGAUCAAGCUUGAUCAAUCCAAUGUUCCGCCUAGUGUGUGAAAGGAGUGGAGCUCACAAAGUGCGGAAAAAAACCCGAAGCAUGUGAGAACGGGCUCACGUAAAAGUGGAUGCUUGUUCAUGAUUAGUGGAUAUCAAAGUAAGCAAACAAAGGAAUGGGGAUUGAACAUUCUUAAUGGAGUUUGCAACCAUGCGAUGGAGCCGGCUUUAGAAAGACACAUUCUUGCCGGUAGACUAAAGGAGGACGACAAGAAGAUUGUACGUGACUUGACCAAGAGCAAGAUGCUUCCAAGAAAUAUUUUGAUACAUUUGAAGAACAAAAGACCACAUUGCAUGACAAAUGUGAAGCAAGUGUACAAUGAACGUCAACAAAUAUGGAAUGCAAAUAGAGGUGACAAGAAGUCGUUGCAAUAUCUAAUCUCAAAGUUGGAGGAGCACAACUAUACUUAUUACUAAAGAGCACAAAGUGAAAGUACUACAAUCGAAGAUAUCUUUUGGGCUCAUCCAACAUCUGUUAAGUUGUUUAACAAUUUUCCAACGGUUUUGGUUAUGGACUCCACCUACAAAACCAACAUGUACAUGAUGCCAAUGUUUGAGGUAGUUGGGGUCACUUCGACCGAUUUGACAUAUUCGGUUGGGUUUGGAUUUGUGACACAUGAGAAAGAGGAAAACUUUGUUUGGUUUUUAAAAAAUGUUGCGUAAACUUCUUACGUUCAGAUGAAUAUGCCUAAGGUGAUUGUGACCGACAGGGAUAUGUCUUUGAUGAAAGCGGUUGCAAAUGUUUUCCUCGAAAGUUAUGCAAUGAAUUAUUACUUUCAUGUGCAAGCAAAUGUUAAACAAAGGUGCGUCUUAGAUUGUAAAUAUCCUUUGGGAAAAAAUGAUGGGAAAGAGGUGAGAAACCACGAUGUUGUCAAGAAGAUAAUUGGGCAUGGAAAGCUAUGGUUGAAUCGGCCACUCAAGAGUUAUAUGCAAAUGCAUUAGUGGAGUUCCAAUAUUCAUGUAGUGAUUUCUCACUUUUAAAAAAUUAUGUCAUGACCACCUUGAAUGAAGUGAAUGACAAAAUUGUGAGGGCAUGGACAGACUGUGUGAUGCAUCUUGGUUGCAGGACCACCAACAGGGUCGAAUCGGCUCAUGCUUUAUUGAAGAAAUAUUUGGACAAUAGUAUGGGUGAUUUGUGUACUUGUUGGGAGAAAAUACAUGACAUGUUGUUGCUUCAUUUCACUGCGAUACAAACAACCAUUGCAAUGUUCCAAAGCAUAUCUAGACACAUGACCACCUUACCCGGAGUACAGAGUGACAUCUUUGAAUCUAUGUUCCAACAUGCUAACGCUCUGACUAAUGGUUGUUUGUAUCGCAGUGAACUGAAGCAACAACAUGUCAUGUAUUUUCUCCCAACAAGUACCCAAAUCACUCACACUAUUGACCAAAUACUUCUUCAAUAAAGCAUGAGCCGAUUCGACCCUGCUGGUGGUCCUGCAACCAAGAUGCAUCACAUGGUCUGUCCAUGCCCUCAAAAUUUUGUCCUUCACUUCAUUCAAGGUGGUCAUGUCAUAAUUUUUGAAAAGUGGGAAAUCACUACAUGAAUCUUGAAACUCCACUAAUGCAUUUGCAUAUAACUCUUGAGUGGGCGAUUCAACCAUAGCUUUCCAUGCCCUCAUUAUCUUCUUGACAACAUCGCGAUUACUCACCUCUUUCCCAUCCUUUUUUCCCAAAGGAUAUUUACAAUCUAAGACGCACAUUUGUUUAACAUUUGCUUGCACAUGAAAGUAACAAUUCAUUGCAUAACUUUCGGGGAAAACAUUUGCAACCGCUUUCAUCAAAGACAUAUCCCUGUCGGUCACAAUCACCUUAGGCAUAUUCAUCAUUGACGUAAGAAGUUUACGCAACAUUUUUAAAACCCAAACAAAGUUUUCCUCUUUCUCAUGUAUCACAAAUCCAAACCCAACCGAAUAUGUCAAAUCGAUCGAAGUGACCCUAACUACCUCAAACAUUGACAUCAUGUACAUGUUGGUUUUGUAGGUGGAGUCCAUAACCAAAACCGUUCGAAAAUUGUUAAACAACUUAACAGACGUUGGAAGAGCCCAAAAGAUAUCUUCGAUUGUAGUACUUUCACUUUGUGUUCUUGAGUAAUAAGUAUAGUUGUGCUCCUCCAACUUUGAGAUUAGAUAUUGCAACGGCUUCUUGUCACCUUUGCCUUCCAUAUUUGUUGACGUUCAUUGUACACUUGCUUCACAUUUGUCAUGCAAUGUGGUCUUUUGUUCUUCAAAUGUAUCAAAAUAUUUCUUGGAAGCAUCUUGCUCUUGGUCAAGUCACGUACAAUCUUCUUGUCGUCAUCCUUUAGUCUGCUGGCAAGAAUGUGUCCUUCUAAAGUCGGCUCCAUCGCAUGGUUGGGAACUCCAUUAAGAAUGUUCAAUCCCCAUUCCUUUGUUUGCUUACUUUGAUAUCCACUAAUCAUGAACAAGCAUCCACAUUUUCUUGAGCCCGUUCUCGGAUGCUUUGGUUUUUUUUCGGCACUUUGUGAGCUCCACUCCUUUAACACACUAGGCGGAACAUUAGAUUGAUCAAGCUUGAUCUUUGUGUAACAAUUGUAAAUCCCGCCUUAUUUGCUUGACGACGCGCCCACUCAAGCAAUUCUUCUCUAUCUUUCGACUUAACGUCGCCCGAAAAAACCUAGCCGUGUCAACCUCGUGGCCUUGAAGUGGGAGGACACCGGAGCCGCCAACUUACUUUGAAGCUUCAACAUGGACGGAAGCUCCAUCAAUACCUUAGGCGGUUUGACAUCUCCGGAAUAUUCGACAAAAUUUGGUUUUGUCUCUCCCGGAACAUCUUCUGCGUUCUCUACCAUUACUAUAAUUAAACAACAUAUAAAUAUGAAUUAACAACUAACUAAUGCAUAAACAUCAAUGCCAGAAUGAAUUAAAACAAAAGAAAAAAAAUUUAAAAACUGGCAGUAGCUGUCAUUUUUUCGUUGUGAAAAUUUUUCACAAGAGUUCCUCAGCACCUUACUACUGAGGUUUUCCUCGGCACUAGACAACCGAAGUUUUCCUCGGCAGUUAACUGCCUAGGUUUCCCAUGACAGAGUUCUACAACUGAUGUAGAUACCCAUAACAAAACCAAAAAUGAACGGAUUAAAAUGCUCAAUAGCUAUUUUUUUACGUCAAAAGUGUAUUGAUACCUCCUAUGCUUGAAUGAUUUUGGAUCAAGAUUUGAUGAAAAAAAAUAUUGGAUUUGGGGAUUGAAUGGAGGUGAUGUUGAAGUUGAUGAUGAAAAUAGUAUGUAGGGGGAGCAGGUGACUGUUUCAUCUGAUGAAGCAUAUUCCUCGGCAGUUAACUACCGAUAAUUUCCUCAGCAGUUAACUGCAGCCGGUUUUUGAAAUCGUCGACAGUUAACUGCCGAGGGAGGAAAAACGUAAAUUACUCGUGUGCCUCAACCUUAUGCAAUGUGUCAACAACAAUUCUCAAAAUAUAAUGUUUAAAUAAGUAAAAUGUUAGGUGAUUUUGCGAUUUUGUUUGGGCAGUAGUAGGAGUAACGGGGGUUGGUGCUCAAUUCUUGGUAAUUAAUUUUGUGGGUUGGCAUUUGAAGAAAUACAGGUUUCAAAAUCAGUGUAUUCCAAAUCUAUUUUUCAAUAUUUUUGGGAUGCAGAUGACUAUAAUCCAACACACUCAACAGCCAACACACCACAAUUUUUUUGAAGCACAACCAAUGCAUUCAAUGAAUUUUGAACUUGUAGGGUAUUGCAUUGACCACGUGUAUGCCCUCCAAUAACCUUAAACCACACAACAUGUUUUCGUCCAAUAACCUUAAACCACACAGCAUAAGAAGUUUGUCAUGUCCCCAUCUUACGCAAAAAAUGCAGUAGACAACACAAUAUUGUCCAUCAAAUAAAAACAUAGAUUCGAUUAUUGAGAUAAUACAUUUGUAAGAAAAUCUCACGUAGGCACGUGAAUGAGUAAAAAAAAUAACGAAGAUCAAUUUUAAAAGUAAGAUACAAUUUAAAACUUAGAGUUGAUAUGAGAGGUGUUAACCACCGAAAAAAGAUAGAAACAUAUAAUCGUCAGUUGAUGAAAUUUAGAAACAAUAUUUAAACUUGAUAUUAAGAGAUUAAUAAUAAUAAAAAAAAUGAUAUGACAAAAGUCCGUUUGUAUAAAGCUUAAAAUUGAAAAUGUAAAUAAUACUUCUUAUUUUAAUCCGAUAUCUUUAGUACUUAGUUAAUUAACUUCUUAAAGAUUUUCAGAUAAAUCCUAAUAUUUUAACUCUGACAUCUUCAGUACUUAGUUAAUUUUUUAAAGAUGUAAACCCUAAUACUUUAACUCCGCCAUCUUCAGUACUUAGUUAAUUUCUUAAAGAUCUUCAGGUAAACUCUAAUAAUUUAAUCCGACAUCUUCAGUAUUUAGUUAACUUCUUAAAGAUCUUGAGGUAAACCCUAAUACUUUAAUCCGACAUCUUCGGUACUUAGUUAACUUCUUAAAGAUCUUCAGAUAAACCCUAAUACUUUUUAUCCGACCUUUUUUUAAAAAUUUAAUGAUCAUCAAUGUUUUUAUCUUGUUAGAACUCUUAUAGUUUACCAGACCUUUUUGAAAAUUUAGUGACAUGUAUCAAUUUUAAAUUAAUCAAAUGUAUGUUUAAACAAUUUUUUUUUUUUUUUACCAAUUUUAAUGGUAACAUUAUGUCUAUUUUACGGUCUAAUUUUUAUUCACACAAGUGCUUAGAUCUUGGGACAUGAGAGGGGGUAUAAUACUCCCUCCGUCCCUAUGCUGUUGCCAAUUUUAAUCACAACGUCUUUUCAUGGAAAUUGUUUUGUUUUGAGUUCACUUCCCCAAUACUACAUCGUCACAUGAUGAAGUGGUAGCUCUGACCUCCUCUUAAUUUAUAAGGCCAUGUACAAUGGGAAAAAAAUUUCAAUAUCCUUCAACACCCACUUUUUCAAUUCCCAACACUCCACAUCAUUUUCUCUCUCAUAAUUCAACACCUAUUUAAUUUUUACCUCUCCAAUAGUUUUUUCAUUCAACACCCUACCCCACCACCUUUUAUUUCUUACUUAUUUAAUUUUAUAUUUUUGUUUUUAUAAUUACCUAAAAUUAUCGAUUAUAAUUAAAUUAAAAUAAUACAAUUAACUAUUAAUUUUUGAGUUUUUUUGGAAAAACAAAAUUUUGUAAAAUAAUUUCUUUUUAUUUUCUUAACUUAAAAUGCGACACACAAAUAACUUAAAAUGCAAGACAACAAACUAAACACGCGACACACAAAUAACUUAAAGACAACAAACUAAGCAUACAACACACAAGUAAUUUAUUUAGUACGAUACAAAUCAUCUUCAAUCACUAUAGAUUCCAAACUUUGGGUGUUAAAUUGAUUAUUAUUGGGAUCCAUUUCACUAAACAAAGACUAAAACUUCAAAAGAAAUGCUAAUUAUAAGAUUAAGAGAGUGAAAAAUAUGAUUUUUUUUUGUGUCCAAAUCAAAUGAUCUAAGUCUAUAGAGAUAAAAAAUUAGGAAUUUUGGUGAAAAAAAUAAAAAAUAAAAAAUUCAUUUGCAAUGAAAUAAUUGAAUCCAAAUUAUUAAGAAGAUAAAAAUCGAGCCAGCCAAUCAGAUUGAGCCACGUAUCCUGCAUUAUCCAAAAAAACAUUUCUCUUUCCGCGUCUUCUUGUCUGUGACGCGCCCUAUCGGCGCGUGUGCUGCACGCGCUCUGCCUGACAAAUGGAAACGCGUCACGUGGCCCCCUCAAUUAGAUUUUCAACUAGUUGAAACCAUUCAUCAUCUCUCUCCUCUUUCCUCAUAUUCAACAAAUUUUUCCAAUAAUUUCAACUAUUGAAUUUUGCUUUCAAUAACCCCGUUGCAUAUGGUCUAAAGACCAGAAAAAUGCAAUCAAAAAGUAACACAAGUGUUUAUUUGAUGGUUAAUGGCUACACGUUUAUCAAAACGUCUUCAAAGCCGUUGAUAAAAAAACUCACGGUUGAUGAUUCAACCCUUCACCUCUCCCAUUCUUUAUUCACAAAUAAAUCACCUCGGCAUACUACACAACCCAUAAUGAUCACAAAAACUGUACACAGAGGCUUGCAUUAAAUGCAAUGCACCACCGUUCAAAUCAGUCCCAACACAAUUUUACCAAAUAUAACAGUGAUAUACUAGCUUUGGCUUAAUGAUGUGAUUAGUCCUUGCAAUUAGACGUAAUUUAAAAAUUCGUCCAUGUAAUUGCUAAUCUUGGCAAUUUAGCCUUGCAAUUGUUAAUCAUUUAAAAUUUGGUCCUUGGACCAACUUAAUCACUGCCUCGUCACUAAUUUGAUGACGUGGCAAUCACUGUCACACAUGAAAUUCCAAUUUUGCCCUUAAGAAGAGGACAAAAUAUUGAAGAAAGAAUUAGAAACCCAGGGGUAAAUUUGGAAUUUCAUGUGGCGUGGCAGUGAUUAAGUGGGGAGAGGGACGAAAUUUUAAAUGAUUAAUAAUUGCAAGGCUAAAUUGCGAGGAUUAGCAAUUACAAGGAUGAAUUUUUAAACGACGCCUAAUUGCAAGGACUAAUCACAUCAUUAAGCCACUAGCUUUUUGUUAUAUGACUAUGUCCACACAAAUUUAUAAAUAAUUAUAAUAUUACAUGUCUAACCAAAUUAUAUUUUAUAAGUGAUAUACACCUUUCGGUCACUAUUAUAAGCAAAAAAACCAUAUUUUAAGUUCAUUCAUUAAAUGUUGUAUGUAACCUAAAUAUAGACCACAUACAACAUUUAAUGAAUGAACCUAGAAAAUGAAGUUUUGCUUAUAAUAGUGAUCGGAGAGUGUAGCUUUUUUAUUAUAUUACAUGUCUAACCUUGGUUAUGAUGAUGUAUUCCGUGAUGAUUACCAAAUGUAUGUAAAUGUUGAAAUUUAACCUUUUCAUUUUUUUCCACUAAAAUUUAUUAGACUUUUUGCACUAUACACAUAUAUAUUGACUAUUAAUUUGUUCAUAUAUUGUAGCAAAAAUGGGCUAGUUUUUUCUAUGGGAAAUGCCAUUGCCAUUUUUUUAAGAUUGGAAUUUCAAUGUCUUGCCCCUGGUGGCUAUGUUGGACGGCAGGUAAGGAGUAUUUGUAUAAGUUUUUGGUUUGCUGGCAAAUAAUAUUUUAAAUGCAGUAUAGUCUAAAUUAUACUGCAAUAUGUGAUGUAUAUACAUAUAGAUCAUCAUGAUGAUGGCCAUGAAGAUUACUUGAGUUUAAAAGCUUACUGUUUAAGAUCUUUAAAACUGGUAUGGACCCAACCUGCUGCAAAUUGUAGAUUAUAUAUAGCUACAACACAAUAACUGUUAUUUGCAAAAAAUCAAUUGUUAUUAACACGUAAAAACAAUUGUCAUUCUUAAUUGUAUAGAUAUAUGUCCCUAUAGUGGAUGAAAUAGGGCACUGGUUUCUAAUGGUGGUUGCUUGAGAGGAUUGAAAAGUUUAUCUCCUAGACUCCCACUUGGUAGCUACGAAGGGUCUUCUUAAAAAAAUUGUAAGUGAAACUACAAUUUACAGCUAUUUAUGUAAAGUCAAUGAAACGCAAAUUACUUACAUCCUUAUAACUGUUAUUAUAGGCUGGAGUUCUCUCCCAUAUGGUGCUAUCCAUUUAUGAGGCAGAGGUACCAUUCUGUUUGUUUCCUGAUUUUGAUUUUUGGGAGAUUGUUGAACUACAUCUGCCACAAAUUAUGCAGAAGAACUUAUGGUGCUUGUUGUAACCUACACUAACCAAUAAUGAUAGCUAUUUAACCAAUACAAACAAAACUCACCCUUUUAUAAUAAAAAAAAUUAUAAAAAAAUUUAUGUGAGUUGAGCUCCAGAAGUUCAUCAGUCGAUCAAAACAUAAAGAACACUUACAGAAGUAUUUUUAAAAAAUCUUUGAUUUCAUUGAACAUUGAUAAAAAAAAUAUUUUAAUAAUGUUAGCACGAGAAAUAAUAAUUUGUUGAUCUUAAACUCGAAUUUUUAAAAAUGAAAAAGAGGUUUGCAAAUAUAUAUAUAUAUAUAUAUAUAUACACAUUAAGAGUAAUGUACUUCCUUGUUGCUUUGAGAUUCCAUGAUGGAUCAAUAGUAGUACUUAACUGUUACAUGCAUCCAUACACGCUAAUGUUUAAAUGAGGUUGGUUUGUAAUAAAUGCAUAUAUAUCAACCAUGUAGCAAACCCUAUUAUUUGUUCUUAAUAAUAAAUUGCUUUAUAAAUGCUGAAACUUACCACUACUCAUUCAUUUUAAACCCCAUCAACAACUUAUAACGUUCACUAAACUCCCUUUAAGAAAUGUUCUUCCAAACAAUAAGUGUUUAUCACAAAGAAUAUUUUGUUGUUUUUAUGGUCAUCCUUUGUUAAAGUUUUAAAAACAUUGGCUCUUUGAUCCAUCCAACACUCUAAAAAUCACUAACACACAUUUUUUUCCACUUCCAAUAUCACCAUCUCAAGAAAACCUUCUCAUAUACUAACAAGAACCUCAUUUGCCAAAGAAGAUUUUCCCCGCAAUUCACUCUUUCAUGUAUUUUAUCAAGAAAUUAAGGUAUAUAUAUACACCAUUAUGUGCUUAUAGUAUAGCAGCCAUGUAACAUGUCUAUAUAGAGUCACGUACACACGUCAUGAAUGAAGCAUUUGUGCGAUCAUUGUAGUAUCUUCUUAUACAUGAUUUGUCUUCUUCUUUAACAUUUUUCUCAAUUGUGGCUGCAGUAGGAGAUGGUGCACAUGAACCUCGACAACGUUUGAGGUGUGCCACGGCGACACAAAUGUGGAGUUUAUUUGGGCUUGGGUGGAAUCGGUAAAUAGGUAAUAUAAAGCAACCUAUAUUUGCAUUUUGUUCUUCACUUGCUCUUGCUUUCUUUUCUUGGUUUGUUCUCUAUUUUUCUAUUCUAUUCAUUACUUCAUUUUUUUUUCAUCUUAUCUUUUUGGUGGUAAAUUUUUGUGUUCACCUCUUUACUUGAUUUUUUUUAAAAGCCAAGCAUCUCUUUACUUUAUAUAAUUUUACUCAAACUUUUAACUUUUUACUAUGAACAUUUUGUCAAAAAAAAAAAAACUUUUUACUAUGACCGCAAAAUACAAUUUUUAAAUAGAUAAAAUGUUAGUAGGAGUAACGGGGUUUGGUGCUCAAGUCUUUGGAUUUAAUUUUGUUGGUUGGCAUUUGAAGAAAUACAGGUUUCAAAAUAGUGGGAUCCAAAUAUAUUUUUUCAAUAUUUUUGUGAUGCAGAUGACUAUCUCAUUCUUUAUAAUAAGAUUUCACUAUUUUUAUCAAACAUACACACCUUAAAUCUUCUUCUUUAUGUAAGAUUUCACUCUCCUGCAAACACUCAUUUCCAGAUAACUGUUUUUCCUUUGAUGUAUGAGAGUUUCCUUAAUAAUUUAUUAUUGUAACCCAAUUUUAAUAAUUUCUAUUUUAUUUUUUAUUUUUUAUUUUUGGUCCAUUAAAAUUUUGUUAUAGCUUAAGAGGCAGUUAUUAUUUGGUCAAGACAAAAGGCAAGUUGUACAAAUAUAUAAAUCACCGAAUUUGUUGGUAAACCAAUCUAGAAUUUUUGAGAUUGUAUAAAUUUACACGAUUGACAGAGAGUAAUUUAAUUUCAAAUGCAUAAAAGAACCUUUCAACUGAUAUAAAAUUAUACGAUUGAAAACCAAGUUACUUGGACUCCACGUACUGGGGAAUAUCGGGUUUGAUUUCGGGAGGGACAACGCUUACCUAGUGCGCACGCCUUUAUGCACGAGACGGAUUAGUCGUCUACCUUUGAUGGGUCAGAAACUGGUGCGAAAGCCAAAAAAAAAUUAUAUGAUUGAAAAUCACUACAAGAAUUCCCCAAUUUACUAACCAAUUCAAAAUGACAUUAGUGAGGGAUUUAGACCCUUAAUAAUUACUGGCGGAAUAAACCUUCAAUAGCAUCCAAAAAACCCUCAAUAACGUUACUGACGGCAAAUUCCCUCAAUAAUUCAGUGAGUUACAUUACUGACGGAUAAAUCCGUCAGUAAUAUUAAUAAAGAACCUACGAAUUAUUACUGCGCGGAAAGAUUCCGCCAAUAACGUAAUCGUACAAGGCAUUGCAUUACUGAGGGAUAUAAAUCCGUCAGUAAUAGUAUAACGGAUUAAAUAAUCCGCCGGUAAUGCGAAUAAUCUGCCAGUAACACAGUUACUUGACUAUCCUAUUGGCUUUCACUCAAUAAUUCUAUUUGGGUUGUUGGUGUUUUCACUGUUGCGUUUUUAUGGCUUUUGUUUUAGAGCAGUUUAGAUGUUUGGUUUGUAAUGUAUUGUGAACACCACUGAUUGUAUAUCAAGUGUUCAACUCAAACAUAUUUCAUUGUAUUUUUGUUUGAUCAGAAGACUCUUGCCUGCGUGCUUGAGCAUUAGAAGACUCUUGCUUAGUGCUUGAGCAUUGGAAGACUCUUGCGUGUGUGUUUGAGCAUUUUUGAGAAGUCUCAUACUUAGAGAGUAUUGAGCAUUUGUAAUCUUUGUGAUUAUAGUGAAAUCUGCUUGGAAGUGUAAGGGGGACUGGACUACUUAGAAACAAUGCUCAAGCACGCAGGCAAGAGUCUUCUGAUCAAACAAAAAUACAAUGAAAUAUGUUUGAGUUGAACACUUGAUAUACAAUCAGUGGUGUUCACAAUACAUUACAAUAAAGACUCUAGACUUUUGAAUUUCUAAGAUGUAUCAAAUCAGUGCAGAAAUUCAGUGUGCUUUGUAGAAUCAAAUUGACAGAGUUUUGGCGCUUUUUAACUUGUAUAUCUCUAUCUACAAUCUUCAAGUCUUCACUCCUUUAUAUAGAGGCGUGAAAGAGACGUUGAGAGGAUUAGCACGUCUAAAGAGUCGUUGAGUUCCUUUGAUCAUCCACCAGUAAUCCUUUGCCUGAUUUGGGUGUAGUCCUUUGAAGAAUUAGCUUCAAAUUCAUUCCCAUCUUGAAGGCACAAAU